rnacentral:rRNA from 1 species
UACGUAGGGUGCAAGCGUUGUCCGGAAUUAUUGGGCGUAAAGAGCUCGUAGGCGGUCUGUCGCGUCGGCUGUGAAAACUCGGGGCUCAACUCCGAGCUUGCAGUCGAUACGGGCAGGCUAGAGUUCGGCAGGGGAGACUGGAAUUCCUGGUGUAGCGGUGAAAUGCGCAGAUAUCAGGAGGAACACCGGUGGCGAAGGCGGCAUCCUGGACCGGUAUUGACGCUGAGGCGCGAAAGCCAGGGGAGCAAACGGG